UGGGGAAUCUUGCGCAAUGCGCGAAAGCGUGACGCAGCAACGCCGCGUGGGGGAAGACGGCCUUCGGGUUGUAAACCCCUUUCAGUUGGGACGAAGCUUCGCCGGUUAAUAGCCGGCUGGAGUGACGGUACCUUCAGAAGAAGCCCCGGCUAACUACGUGCCAGCAGCCGCGGUAAUACGUAGGGGGCAAGCGUUGUCCGGAUUUAUUGGGCGUAAAGCGCGUGUAGGCGGCUUGGUAAGUCUGCUGUGAAAGUCCAGGGCUCAACCCUGGAAUGCCGGUGGAUACUGUCAAGCUAGAGUCCGGAAGAGGCGAGUGGAAUUCCUGGUGUAGCGGUGGAAUGCGCAGAUAUCAGGAGGAACACCAAUGGCGAAGGCAGCUCGCUGGGACGGUACUGACGCUGAGACGCGAAAGCGUGGGGAGCAAACAGGAUUAGAUACCCCCGUAGUCC
rnacentral:rRNA from 1 species